rnacentral:tRNA from 1 species
AGCUCGAUGGUGUAGUGGCCCAGCAUCUGGGGCUCUGAACCCCGGGACGCAGGUUCGAAUCCUGCUCGAGCUA